rnacentral:rRNA from 1 species
GACCUGGCUGGGUGGUCUUGCCGAAAGGUAAGCACUGCUCUGGUCGGGUCUUUCCUUCUGGGGAACCUGCGUGCUCUUAAUUGAGUGCGCAGGGGAUCCAGGACUUUUACUUUGAAAAAAUUAGAGUGUUCAAAGCGGGCGCACGCUCGAAUAGAUUAGCAUGGAAUAAUGGAAUAGGAC